UACGUAGGGUGCGAGCGUUAAUCGGAAUUACUGGGCGUAAAGCGUGCGCAGGCGGUUUUGUAAGUCAGACGUGAAAUCCCCAAGCUCAACCUGGGAACUGCGUCUGAUACUGGAUGGCUUGAAUCCGGGAGAGGGAUGCAGAAUUCCAGGUGUAGCGGUGAAAUGCGUAGAUAUCUGGAGGAAUACCGGUGGCGAAGGCGGCAUCCUGGACCGGCAUUGACGCUGAGGAGCGAAAGCCAGGGGAGCAAACGGG
rnacentral:rRNA from 1 species